rnacentral:rRNA from 1 species
CAGUCGCCGCGGUAAUACGUAGGUGGCGAGCGUUGUCCGGAUUUAUUGGGCGUAAAGGGAGUGUAGGCGGUCUUUUAAGUCUGAUGUGAAAGCCCACGGCUCAACCGUGGAGGGUCAUUGGAAACUGGGAGACUUGAGUGCAGAAGAGGAGAGCGGAAUUCCAUGUGUAGUGGUGAAAGGCGUAGAUAUAUGGAGGAACACCAGUGGCGAAGGCGGCUCUCUGGUCUGUAACUGACGCUGAGGCUCGAAAGCGUGGGGAGCAAACAGGAUUAGAUACCCCGGUAGUCCUGUCUCUUAUACC